AUAGAGACUCAGAGCUGCAUAUCAAUAAGCGGAGGAAAAGAAACUAACAAGGAUUCCCCUAGUAACGGCGAGUGAAGCGGGAAGAGCUCAAAUUUGAAAUCUUCAAGGUUCUACCUUGACGAAUUGUAGUUUAUAAGAAGUGUUUUCUGUUAGUAGAGUGGUAAAAGUUCUUUGGAAUAGGACAUCAUAGAGGGUGAGAAUCCCGUAUUUGGUCAUUCUCUCCUAGCUUUGUGAUACACUUUCAAAGAGUCGGAUUGUUUGGGAAUGCAGUCCAAAAUGGGUGGUAAAUUUCAUCUAAAGCUAAAUAUUGGCGAGAGACCGAUAGCGAACAAGUACCGUGAGGGAAAGAUGAAAAGAACUUUGAAAAGAGAGUUAAACAGUACGUGAAAUUGUCAAAAGGGAAGCGUUUGACACCAGUGUUGUUUUUCCGAAAAUCAAUUACGAAUGUUUUAUUUUUGAGAAGUUAUGACUUCAUCGGCUUGCUUCUCUCUUUAUGAAACUUUCUUAAUGCACUUUUCGGUUAACAAGUCAACAUCAAUUUCUUUUGUUGUAAAAGGGUAUGAGGAAGGUGGCUUUCUUUUCGGAGAAAGUGUUUAUAGCCUUGUACCUCUGCAAUCGGAGAGAUUGAGGUCUGCAGCGUAGAUCCUUCGGGGUUAGAUACAUUUGUGCUAAGUUAUAGCUUUUCAUAGACAACUUGUUGACUAUGCUUAGUCUUGUAGCUUACUCGCUUAUGCUAUUUUACCUACGCUUAGGAUGUUGAUAUGCAUGACUGAUAU
rnacentral:rRNA from 1 species